rnacentral:rRNA from 1 species
CCUGGUUGAUCCUGCCAGUAGUCAUAUGCUUGUCUCAAAGAUUAAGCCAUGCAUGUGUAAGUAUGAACGAAUUUAGACUGUGAAACUGCGAAUGGCUCAUUAAAUCAGUUAUAGUUUGUUUGAUGGUAACUACUACUCGGAUAACCGUAUUAAUUCUAGAGCUAAUACGUGCAACAAACCCCGACUUUUGGAAGGGAUGCAUUUAUUAGAUAAAAUGUCGACACGGGCUCUGCCCGUUGCUAUGAUGAUUCAUGAUAACUUGACGGAUCGCAUGGCCUUAGUGCUGGCGACGCAUCAUUCAAAUUUCUACCCUAUAACUUUCGAUGAUAGGAUAGUGGCCUACCAUGGUGGUAACGGGUGACGGAGAAUUAGGGUUCGAUUCCGGAGAGGGAGCCUGAGAAAUGAAUAUCACAUCCAAGGAAGGGAGCAGGCGCGCAAAUUACCCAAUCCUGACUCGGUGAGGUAGUGACAAUAAAUAACAAUACCAGGCUCUUUGAGUCUGGUAAUUGGAAUGAGUACAAUCUAAAUCCCUUAACGAGGAUCCAUUGGAGGGCAAGUCUGGUGCAAGCAGCCAUGUAAUUCCAGCUCCAAUAGCGAAUAUUUAAGUUGUUAUAGUUAAAAAGCUCGUAGUUAAACCUUGGGAUGGGUCGCCCGUCCGCCUUCUUCGGUGAGCACCGGUCGGCUUUGUCUCUUCUGUCGGCGAUAUGCUCCUGGCCUUAACUGGCUGGGUCGUGCCUCCGGCGCUGUUACUUUGAAGAAAUUAGAGUGCUCAAAGCAAGCCUACGCUCUGUAUACAUUAGCAUGGGAUAACAUCAUAGGAUUUCGAUCCUAUUGUGUUGGCCUUCGGGAUUGGAGUAAUGAUUAACAGGGACAGUCGGUGUGAUAACCCGUCCUUUGGGAUAAAAUGGUCGAGAGAGCAAAAGUCAGAAUCCAGAGCCGUGCUUUUGGGAAUCCACGUGGUCUCUCGACCCAACUGGAUACAAAUGCUUAGUUAUUAAUUUCUUUGCUUGUCUGAUUCAUUCUAAGUCUUUUCUUUACUAAGUCAUAUUCGAAUAUGAGGUUCAUAAACAAAGGAAUAGAUUGCACAGCGGAAUAACAAUGUAUAAACUUUGUAUUACUUAGAAACAUGAGAUUCAAUACACAACUUCUUAACAGUCUCAUAGACAAUCACUAGUUCAUCCCUAGCAUCAUAUAACCACAUGUUACACAGCCUCUCACUGACCGAGCCUUCACGGCUCCUUGGCUUGACCAGAACCAUCCUUAGUUCCUGAAACCACAACCAGAUAAGCAUUAAUCAUAACCGAGAAUAGAACAGAUUGAUUCUACAAUGCUUGGCUUGGUUCCUAGAACUUAGAUAAACCUCAGUCAACACAAUCAUAGACAGUAUGAACCUACCUACCGUAUCCUAAGUCAUUCAACCAACCACCCCUUGACUUAGAAUCAGAUAGAUAGUCCAGAAUAGAUAAACAGAACACACGAACAGAUCCGGAUCGUCCAUAAAGACCAAUCCGUCUAACCGGAUAGAAUCUAGGUGCGACCGGCCAAUGAAAUCCGGCUCAAUGGCCCAACGGACUUCCUUACCUGAUCCGGCCUUAGGCCUGGAUCCAAUCGGCCGAGUAAGCCUCAAGCCUAAUCCGGAAGGCUUAGCAACCGGUCAGACCUUGCGACUCUACCUUGGCUUUGACAAACCGUGACCUUGUCUUGACUAGACAAGCCAUAGGCUGGUCCA